rnacentral:rRNA from 1 species
CAGUCGCCGCGGUAAUACGUAGGUGGCAAGCGUUGUCCGGAAUUAUUGGGCGUAAAGGGCUCGCAGGCGGUUUCUUAAGUCUGAUGUGAAAGCCCCCGGCUCAACCGGGGAGGGUCAUUGGAAACUGGGAAACUUGAGUGCAGAAGAGGAGAGUGGAAUUCCACGUGUAGCGGUGAAAUGCGUAGAGACGUGGAGGAACACCAGUGGCGAAGGCGACUCUCUGGUCUGUAACUGACGCUGAGGAGCGAAAGCGCGGGGAGCGAACAGGAUUAGAUACCCCAGUAGUCCCUGUCUCUUAUAC